rnacentral:tRNA from 1 species
CGAGGGCCUGGUCCACGGGGAUCGGCGGCUGCGGGCCGCCGGGCUCCGGGUCCUCCCCGGUGCCGGCGCCC